rnacentral:rRNA from 1 species
GCAUCGAUGAAGAACGUAGCGAAAUGCGAUACUUGGUGUGAAUUGCAGAAUCUCGUGAACCAUCGAGUCUUUGAACGCAAGUUGCGCCCGAAGCCAUUAGGUUGAGGGCACGCCUGCCUGGGCGUCAU